rnacentral:rRNA from 1 species
GCAUAUCAAUAAGCGGAGGAAAAGAAACCAACAGGGAUUGCCCUAGUAACGGCGAGUGAAGCGGCAACAGCUCAAAUUUGAAAUCUGGCCUUCGGGUCCGAGUUGUAAUUUGUAGAGGAUGCUUUUGGCGCGGUGCCUUCCGAGUUCCCUGGAACGGGACGCCUUAGAGGGUGAGAGCCCCGUACGGUUGGACACCAAGCCUCUGUAAAGCUCCUUCGACGAGUCGAGUAGUUUGGGAAUGCUGCUCUAAAUGGGAGGUAAAUUUCUUCUAAAGCUAAAUACCGGCCAGAGACCGAUAGCGCACAAGUAGAGUGAUCGAAAGAUGAAAAGCACUUUGAAAAGAGGGUUAAAUAGCACGUGAAAUUGUUGAAAGGGAAGCGUUUACGGCCAGACCUUUUCCUGGCGGAUCAUCUGGUGUUCUCACCAGUGCACUCCGCCAGGUUUAGGCCAGCAUCGGCUCCCGUAGGGGGAUAAAAGCAGUGGGAAAGUAGCUCCCUCGGGAGUGUUAUAGCCCGCUGCACAAUACCCUUACAGGGGCCGAGGACCGCGCUUUUGCAAGGAUGCUGGCGUAAUGGUCGUCAACGACCCGUCUUGAAACACGGACCAAGGAGUCGAACAUUUGUGCGAGUGUUUGGGUGUCAAACCCUCACGCGUAAUGAAAGUGAACGGAGGUGAGAGCCCUCUAGGGGGUGCAUCAUCGACCGAUCCUGAUGUCUUCGGAUGGAUUUGAGUAAGAGCAUAACUGUUCGGACCCGAAAGAUGGUGAACUAUGCGUGGAUAGGGUGAAGCCAGAGGAAACUCUGGUGGAGGCUCGCAGCGGUUCUGACGUGCAAAUCGAUCGUCAAAUCUGCGCAUGGGGGCGAAAGACUUAUCGAACCAUCUAGUAGCUGGUUACCGCCGA